ACUCCAAGAGAGAGAAAAAGUCCAAGAGAGAGAAAGAUUCCAAGAGAAAGAAAUAAAGAGGGACAAAAAAAAAAGUCAGCUCUCCAUUAUCAAUUGAAGCACCAAAAAAGGAAAAAAAAAUAGACAAAUAAUUUCCAUUUUUUUUGUAGCAGGAGGAUCGAUUCAUUCAUCAAUUGGUUAAAGAUGGAAGAGGAGAAGCAUCAAUCCAAGGAGCAAGGACUAAGCUUUCAACUACAUCUUGUUUGUUCAUUGAGCGUGAAUGUGGAUCCAAAUCUACUAGCUCUGACUCCGUGAUUUCAUUGGAAUCCUCUUUCUGGUUUCUACAUAUCACAAGUUUUGUGACAUCAUCUUGAAACGUUUGCAAAAUGGACAUCAUUAGCCAUGCACUAUUAUUAAAAUUGUAACUUAUUUAGAAAUUCGUUUAUAAUGAGUGUGAUUGUUAAAUUAUGAAAUUGAUAGCAUACCAACAUGGUAUUGUAUUAUACCAACAAAACAUUAUUUGGUUUUAGUUAUUGAUAUUUGAGUAUUAAUUGACGAUACAAACAUAGAUUAAUGAAAGAAAUUACAAUAAUUAUCUCCUUA